GGAGGUCUGAUGAGUAAUACGCAUGUGGGAAGGACUUGUGAACCCAGGGCCCUGAUCCCAGGCCCACAGUUUAGAUGGCAUCUGUCUCUCCACCUGCCUGUUGCUGAGGGGUGGAGCUCGUGCUCAAGGAAGCAAAGAGAGGUAUUGGCCCUCUAAGUGAGAGAGCUGGAGAGGAUGAUGAGCACGGAGUGAAUGUGGGCUGGUGUUAUAGGUACUCCUGAGGUCCUGGGGAGAGAGCCUGCUUAUGGACACCUCUGUCCCCGUCAUCACAGGGCUCUGUGACCUUUGAGGACGUGGCUGUGUACUUUUCCCAGGAGGAAUGGAAGCUUCUUCAUGAGGCCCAGAGACUCCUGUACCGAGAUGUGAUGCUGGAGACCUUUGCACUUGUUGCAUCAUUGGGACUUGCAUCUUCUAGGUCCCAUGUUGUCCAGCUGGAGCUGGGAGGAGAACCCUGGGUACAUGACAGAGUGGACAUGACUCCAGGCACAGCAAGAGGGCCUCAGAGUGGGCCUGGCCCUGGUGAUUCACAUCUGGGGGAGGAUGUGAUGUCACAGCUGGGUUCACACCAUACCAGGAACAUGUCCUGUGCCCCGCACUGUUUGGGUGCCAUGGCCAGGGGCUGUGUACCUCAUUUCUGCCUUUCCUGCCCAUUCUUGACACUUUGCUCCUUCUCUCAUUUCUACUCUGCCUUCCGGCCCAGGAUUAUCCCUCACCUCGUCUUCCACUCCUCAUACGUCUACUCCAUCCUCACUCUGCUAUGGUUGCUGGCUUGGAGCUGAGUACAAUGAGACACCUUCUGAGCAGAAUAUUUCUGUAGAAGUGCCCCAGAUGAAUCCUUCAAAGUAUUUUGAAGAUGGCCUGCCCCUGGGAGAGAUGUAGGCUGCACUUAGUGGUUUGCAUCUAGCUGAGGUUGCAGGAACAACCUUUGCCAGAAUAUGUGGGGGCAGGAGUGAAGCACAGUGGAGAAAAAGUCUUUGGAAGUGAUGUGGGUAAGGCCUUCAUGAAGAGUCACACAGUCCAUACUUCCAAGUUGUCUGUAACAUGCCAGGAGGCUGAGAAGGGUUUCCUGGGUAGCUGUGUCCUUCAGCUUCAGGUCCUGUCACAAAAGGACACUGAGUGUGAGGAGGCCUUUCCCAGUGGACAAAGGCAAUACCAAUGCAGUGAAUGUGGGAAAGCCUGCUGAAAUACAGGCCUGCUGAACACCAGAGAGUCCAUACUGGAGUGAGGCAGUUUGUGUGGGAAAAUCUUCAGCUCUAAAGGCAAACUUUUUCUGCACUGAAGAGUCCACACUGGAAAUAGGCCUUAUGAGUGCAAUGAAUGUGGAAAAGCCUUCUGCUAUAAAGAUUCACUUGUUCAACGCCAGAAAACCAGCUCUGGAGAUUUGUUCCAUAAGUGCUGUGAGUGUGGGAAAGGCUUCAGCUGCAAAUAUUACUUGCUCAGCACCAGAGUGUCCACACUAGAGAAAGGCCUUAUGAAUUAAGUUGCUGUGGGUAAAACCUUUAAUUAGAAAUACCAACUUGUUGAGCCCAGGGGAGGCCACACUGGAGAACAUCCUUAUGAUGAAUGCAGUCAGUGUGGGGAUGUCUCCAGCUCUAAAGGCAAGCUUGUUCAGCACCAGAGCAUCCACACUGGAGAGAGGCCUUAUAAGUUGUCAGUGUGCCAAGUUCUUUAGGCAAAACUUCAGUCAUAUGAACCAACAGCGAAUUGACACUGGAGCAACACCUUAUGAAUGUAGUGAAUGCUUGAAAUCCUUUUGCCAGAAGUCCUCCCUUAAUCAACACUGUAGAGUUCACACUGGAGCAACACCUUAUAAAUGCAGUGAAUAGGGGAAAUUCUUUUCCUCCCACACUCAUCUAAUUAAACACUUGUGAAUCCACACUGGGGAAAGGCAUUAUGAGUAUAUUGAAGGUGGGAAAUCCUUUAAUCAAUGUUCCACCCUCAUUAGAUAUCAAUGAAUUGGCACUGGUGAAAGGGCAUAUGAAUGUACUGAAUGCGUUGAAACCUUUAACCAGAGCACCCAGCUUACUUUAUAAUGAAAAGUUCACACCAUAGAAAGGCCUCAUAAGUGCAGCAAAUGUGGGAAAGUCUUCUGUCCAAGGUUUGCUUUCAUUGAGCACCAGAAACUUUACAGCCUUUAUAAACCUUAUUAGUGGAGCAAAAGCAGGAAAAUAAUGAUAAUAAAUACAUAAUACUAAGUAUGUUUGUGCAGUUGUCAUCAAUUUGAGAUUGAACUCCAUAUAUCUGAACAUCCCUGGUGUGGAGAUAGCUUCUGAUUUCUGGGUCAUAGGAAGCUUUUAAGAAGCUAUGCUAUACUUUAUAACCUGCCCAGGACUGUUGCCAGACUUAUGUCACUGUGAGUGUCUUCCACCAAGUUUCAGAUCCCCAUAGUGGGCAACACCCCUGAGGAUGACCAAGCUAGGUAGACCUUGUGCUCUCACAGCCUGUGGAAUGAAGCAUGUGUAGCCUGAGCAGAUGGGUGUUUGUCAUUCUCUUGUGGCUGCCUAGCCCAUGGACCUAACUGCCUUUGACCAGGGGGAUCUUCUCUGGGUGCUCCUGGUGGCUUACAAAGGUUUACCUUGUUUAGUGGCAUGUCUCAUGUCAUGCUCAGGUUGGAUUUUUCUAGCUCCAAGGUACUGUUUGGAAAGUGUCUCCUUCAAUUUGCUCUGUUCUCUGCCAUAAUAAAGUUAUUAUUUAAGCUACAUUUCAUCCUGGGUAUUUUGCAAUGGUUUUGAGAACCAAAUUGAACCAUCAAGAUGAAGAGGAACAGGUUUUGUGGGCAUUCUGAACUCAGUAUACCUCAUUGAGAAUAGCAUCAUGGUAGAGAACAGUUUGCACUCCAGUUUUGCUCUAAUUUGUAUGGUUAUCCAAGGCUUCCUGGGAAAGACUAUGGAUUUGUGUGACUAGUCUUGUGACCUAGACAAUGUUACAAUUUUUGGUAGGUCUAGGAGUCACCCUGACAAUCAUCAGUGUUUUCUGGGGCAGCACUUGUUCUCUUUUUCACAUGGGAUGUUGCAUAAUACCCCCAACACUUUAAAAAAGAAGAUAUUUUCUAGAUCCACCUGGAAAAAACCUUGUUCCCUAAUGUCCAAAUUUAGUAAUCUGGUGCUACUGAGUAUAGACAUUAAGGUGGGAACCAUAUAUGCCACAGAAACACAGGGAAUUCAUAGGGAGUUUAGCAAACAAGAGGAAUGAGCCUAUUCUUAAAUUGUAUCCAGGAGUUCCCAUUGUUUGUUGGGGGUAAGAACCCAACUAGUGUCCAUGAGUUUGCAGGUUUGAUCCCUACCCUUUCUCAGUAGGUAAGGAUCCCGUGUUGCUAACAAAUUACCCACCCCUCCCACAUACACCUUCUGAUAUCUCUUCUAUCCAACUAUUUUCACAUUCAGCUAUUUUAUCUAGACUUGUAUUCAUCUUUUUCUUUCAUAAUGAAUGCCUAAUUAUGUCAAGAAUCAUCUAAGUUGUAAAUGUGAAGUCUUCAAUAAUUUCUGAAAAAUAUACAAUUUGGAUAUACUAUCCAUUUGACUGUUUAUCCUCAUUGAUCUGUUAAUGGAUAGGGUUUUGUGGUUUGUUUCCAGUUUGGCUUCCACAUAUAAGCUUCCUGUGAACACUUACAUAAAACUAUGAAUAUAUGGCUUUAUAGUC
ensembl:lncRNA